rnacentral:rRNA from 1 species
UCGGGAAUUUUGGGCAAUGGGCGAAAGCCUGACCCAGCAACGCCGCGUGAAGGAUGAAGUAUUUCGGUAUGUAAACUUCGAAAGAAUAGGAAGAAUAAAUGACGGUACUAUUUAUAAGGUCCGGCUAACUACGUGCCAGCAGCCGCGGUAAUACGUAGGGACCAAGCGUUGUUCGGAUUUACUGGGCGUAAAGGGCGCGUAGGCGGUGUGUCAAGUCAGUUGUGAAAUCUCCGAGCUUAACUCGGAACGGUCAACUGAUACUGUCACACUAGAGUACAGAAGGGGCAAUCGGAAUUCUUGGUGUAGCGGUGAAAUGCGUAGAUAUCAAGAGGAACACCUGAGGCGAAGGCGGGUUGCUGGGCUGAUACUGACGCUGAGGCGCGAAAGCUAGGGGUAGCAAACGGGAUUAGAUACCCUUGUAGUCCCUGAGCGGGCUGGCAAGGCGCAU